UCUAUAUAUAUUAAUACGUUUUCAAAAAACAUAAAAAAGGAUAAACCGGGUACGGUAUUGCAACAUUUACAUAAAAAGAUUAACAGUCCUACACUUUUACCAUUUUGUUCACAGCAGAAGUAAUUUUUAUCGUUUAUAGAUGAAACCAUUAGUGUAAUUAGAUGAGAUGGGGAGAAGGAGACGACGGUCGUUUAAUUAUGUGUACAGGUCAAAACGAAGAAGAGAAAGGAGUCCUUUUAAAUGCCUAGAGUAUAUACAAAAAACUAGUCAUACAAAUAGCAAUGAAUGGCGACACAAUCAUCACAACAGUGGUGACACUUGGAUUGGAAAUUUCGAUUGGGCAACCGAGGAAAGGGAGGAGUUGUUAUGGAUGUGGACUCCAAGCAACCUUCAAAAAGUUGAUAAUACUCUCGAAAAAGAGAAAUUAGACAAUAGUGACAUAAAAUGGGUUAUCCAAAGUUUAACGUCUGAAAUUGACAACGAGCUGGAACAAGUUUGUUCAGUUAUUACAAAACAUGACUUUUUCCGAAGAUCUGAUGUAUUCGGAAAUGUUGUAGAGAGUAUUAACUCAGAUCAUCAGGAUAUAGAUGACUGGUUAAAAGACCUCGUAAAAUUGGUUGUGUCGGUCUCAAAGCAAAGUAAUAUCAAAACAGUGUACACUAAAACAAUUUUAGGACUUUUUUCCUCCCUUCUUUUGCCAACAAAAUGCAGUAAUGACCCUUUAAUCGAAGAUGAGAUAGGCAAUGCCUUUGAGAAUCUGAAAGUCAGAGAAUGGUAUGAAGAUCUUCAAGAUGACAGCCCUUCAAAGAUACACGUACCCGGUCCCCUAAGAGCAAUAUUGCAUACUUUGAUAACUUGGCUAAUAUUACCAACAUCUGAAAUGGUUGACAAAGAUGAACACCCUCCUCUGUGGCCACGCGACUUGCGUGCUCCAUAUCGGGGGCCUGUUCAUUAUUUAAUAGAACAGUUCAGUCUAUUUCUGGAAGAUUUCAUUGCUCCUCUACGUAGAGGAAUAAAAAACUAUAUGAACUACGUACGAUCGCAAGGAAUGCAAAGCUCAUUUAAAGAUGAAAAUAUUCGAGUAUAUAGAAGAGUCCGCCUGCUUGAUAACAAAUGUAUCCAUGGGUCAGGCGUGUGUCUUGAAGUACAGUUUGAUACCAAUACAAUGAAGAGAGUGCGCUGGGAUUCCUGUAAUUUUUUACAGUACGGGAAUGUAGUUUGUUUAACCUACGAUGAUUGCCCAGAAUUAGUCUAUGCAUUGAUCGCUAAUCGGGAUGUACAACAACUUAAAGAUGGAAAGAUUUUCCUGAAAGUACUCAAUGAAAACCCGCAAAGUCUCGGUAGACUAAGAAGGAAACAACAAUCUCGACUCGUGAUGAUUGAAAGCAAAUCAUUUUUUAUGGUAUACAAUCGCACACUUGAGUCAUUUCAAAAUAUGGCUUUAAGAAUGCUAGAAAAUAAUGAAAACAUUCCAUUUGCUAGGUAUUUGGUAGAUCUAAACACUGACGUUAGGGAACCAUUAUACACUCGGGAAAAGAACUUUGAAUCAACAGGAGUUGACUUUAACUGCCUCGUUAAAAUCAAGAAAGGCACAUCAAAACAGUAUAAAAAAAUACCAAUACUGGAUGUGGAGAAAUGGCCAACAAGAGAGGAAAUGGGUCUCAAUGAGGAUCAAUACAACGCACUCAAGAAAUGUUUGACGAAGAAAAUCGGUAUUCUCCAAGGUCCCCCUGGCACAGGAAAAACUUGGAUGGGUGUGCGGAUUGUGGAAUUUUUAUUAAGCAACUUCAGGAAUUUGUUUACGAAUGAAGAAAGCCGGCCAAUUUUAUUGCUCAGUUAUACAAACCAUGCACUUGAUCAAUUUUUUGAAAAGUUGUUGGAACUAGAAAGUAUUCAACGUAUGCUGGCAGGAAUGUCUCAUUUUAAAAUACCUUUUGUGAGAGUAGGAGGGCGGUGUGAAAAUGAAAAGGUUAAGGAAUAUUCAUUAAAUGUACAAAGAAAGAAAAUAAAAUAUUGGAGCGACAAUAGAGCGGAAAUGCAAAAAUCUCUCAAAUCUGUCAAGUUUAUUGACACACUUCUUAGUUUCCUACAAGAAGGAAUUAUAUCGGCCGAUUUCCUAAAAUCUGAGGAAAUAAUAUCGUCGGACCACUUCUCUUCCUUAAUACAAGUUCAGUCCGUAUUUCCUCCUAACAAUGCUAAUGAUAGUUUACUUGCAUGGUUAUUUGAAAACGGAGUUGACUACAACCAGACAAACGAGACACCAACAACCAACAAGACAGAACUAACGGAAGAUGACUUGUUUUUACAGGAAUCUGAAAGAAGAAUCUUAGACGACGAUGACAAAAGUAAAGUCGACGAAAAUGAAAUUUUAAAGGAAAUUUCCCCCUUAUUUCUUCUCUCUAGCAUAAAUUCUCCGCCUAAUUAUCUGCUCGAUAAUAUUCAAAGUAAUUAUGUUGCCAUAUUAAACUUCGUUCGUAAAAUGCUUAGCAAUCCCGAUGAUUGUAUUUCGGAUGAAAUGAUGAGGGGAGUCGAUGACGUCUGGGAUUUGUGUCAUAAAGAACGUUGGAGACUUUACAAAUUUUGGAUUCGAGAUAUUUCUUUCAAAUUUUCAAAUCGUAGAAAUAGGCUUGUAAAAUUAUUUGAUGAUUACAGCAAAGCUGUUGAAAAUGAGCGGUUUAAACAAGAUUUGGGCAUUCUAACUUCAUGCUACAUGGUGGGUAUGACAACCACUGGUGCUGCAACAAAUAUGAAUCUUCUGAGAGAAAUACAACCACGUAUUGUUGUUGUAGAGGAAGCAGCACAAGUUCACGAACAACACAUUAUUGGAUGUCUGACUAAAGAAUUGCAACAUCUCAUUUUGAUAGGCGACCACCAGCAACUCCGUCCAGCAAUGAACAAUUAUGAUUUAAAACGAUCUCAUAAAACAGAUGUUUCAUUGAUGGAGAGGUUGGUGAUGAAUAAGUUCCCCUUUCACUGUUUGACUUAUCAACAUAGAAUGAGACCUGAGAUCUCCCGAAUGCUGACUCCAGCCAUUUACCCAACACUCAAAAACCAUUCGUCCGUCUUAUCGUACCAAAAUAUCAAAGAUAUCACCAUUUUAUCUGCAUAUAACGACCAAGUUAGAAAGAUCAGAAGGAAAGUGACUGAAAUUUCGAAAACAAUUAGAUUUGUCAAAAUCAUCCAAAAACAAUCACUAAAGUGUCCACUCCUCAGGAUUUUGGGAAAGUUCCUGAUGGUGGAUGUACUGAACUGUGUGCAACCCAGCUGCAGUGUGGACACGUCUGUGAAAGGCAAUGUCACGGUGAUGACUCGAUUCACAACCUUCUAUGUCAAAAGCCAUGUUUGAAGAUAGUAUGUGAAAGUAAUCAUCCUUGUCCAAAAAAAUGUCAUGAAGAAUGUGGUAAGUGCAUGACAAAGGUGAUGAAAAAGUUUGAUAUAUGUAAACAUGAAGUUGAAGUUCCUUGUUUUGUGGAUCCUGCAUCUACUCCAUGCCCAGUUAAGUGUACAAAGACGCGGUCAUGUGGACAUCCUUGUACCUUGAAAUGUGGUCAGAGUUGUGAUAAAUUACCAUGUACAGAGAGAUGUUUGGAAAUAUUAUGUGACAGUGGACAUCCUUGUCCAAAGAAAUGCCAUGAAGAAUGUGGAAAGUGUAUGACAAAAGUGAUGAAAAGGUUUGAUUCAUGUGGACAUGAAUUGAAAGUACCUUGCUAUUUAGAUCUUGCAUCUAUUUCAUGCCCAGUUAAGUGUACCAGAACACGACAGUGUGGACAUCCUUGUACUUUGAAAUGUGGUCAAAGUUGUGAUCAAGUUCCAUGUAUGGAAACGUGUUUGAAAAUGGUAUGUGAUAGUAAACAUCCCUGUCCGAAAAAAUGUCAUGAAGAUUGUGGGAAGUGUUCGAAAUUGGUUACGAAAAAGUAUAGUAAUUGUGGACAUGAAAAUGAGAUACCUUGUUGGAUGGAUCCUGCAUUUGUUCCAUGUAAAGCCGAGUGUACCAAGAAACUACAGUGUGGACAUCCUUGUACUUCAAAAUGUGGUCAAAGUUGUGAUGAUGAUCUAUGUAAAGUUAUGAUACAGAAUAUGCAUCCACAAUGUCGUCACAUAACAAUAAUUAAAUGUUACAAAAAAGAUGAAUAUAUCUGUCGAAAAAAAUGUACAGAAAUUCUUGAGUGUGGACAUCCAUGUCAAGGGAAUUGCCAUGCGUGUUCGAAUGGUAGAUUACACGUACCCUGUAAAGAAAAGUGUACACGUACACUUGUUUGUGGACAUGCUUGCAGUGAUUUUUGUUGGAACCCCUGUCCCCCGUGUUCGAAAAGAUGCGAAAGAGGAUGUGUGCAUAAAAGAAACGGCUGUAGUCAUUUAUGUAAAAAUCUGUGUGAACCAUGUGAAGAAAUGUCAAAUUGGAUUUGCUAUGAUGAAUGUGAAAAUGAAUUUCGUAGUAGUGAAAAGUGUCAUAAAGACUACGUCCGGCCCCCUUGCAAUAAACGAUGCAAGAAAUCAUUGAUAUGUAAACCUAAUCACAGAUGUAUUGGAUUGUGUGGGGAAAAUUGCCCAUCCAUCUGUAAAAGAUGUGACAGGAAAAAACUAACAAAUAUCCUUGGAGAAAAAAGCGUUGAUGACUCGCUUGUCGUACAACUCAUAGACUGUGGACACAUAUUUAAGGUCGAUACAAUGGAUGAGUAUAUGCGUUUGUAUCCAGAACAUUUCAUUUUGGACGAAAAGAUGGCAUUAAAAACAUGUCUUGAAUGUUCGACACCCAUAAGAAGUAGUGGGCGAUACAAAAACGUCAUCAAUCAAACAUACAGUGAUAUUGUGGAAGUAAAUCGGAAAUGUAAAGUUGAAACAAACAACUUGUUUUUGAAAAAGUAUAAAAUUCAGAGAAAUGUCCUCGAUAAAGACAUGCCACUCAAAGAACGGAUUGCCUGUUGCCGCAACAGAUAUGUUAGAGCUGUUUGUAAAAGAGUCUUGAAAAAGUUAUGCCGAAGGUAUAAAGCGAUUCUUGCAAUGGAUGAACAAUAUAAUAUUAGGGAAAUAGCAAAAACUUACAAUGUUAUAUUUGACUGGAUUUUUCAUCAUUCAAAUGUUACUUUUGUUCACGAGGAACUCGAGCAGUUGAAUGAUGAGGUGGAGAGAUUUUCGAUGUAUAUUGACCUUGUGUUACUGAAACAUGUCUGGGAAAUCAUUCUACUUCAAACCGAAAAGGAUCUUAUUCAAUAUCAUUUAUUGAAACUCCGAUGCCCAGAUGGCGAUACCUUUAACCGUGGCGAUGUUGUGUCAGCUCAGGCAGUAUUUGAUAAGAUACGAGAAAAGCAUUGCCUGUGGAUGCCUGUUAGAGAAAGAAGAAUGUCAUUCAAAGAUGUGGUUUGCGGAAAACGAGGAAACUGGUAUAAAUGUAGCAAAGGUCACAUCUACCUGAGCGAAGUUGGCGGUUCAGUUGAUGAUCCAAGAUGCCCUGAUUGUCUGUCACCUAAAGAAGAUGGUCUACCACUAAAUGAAGAAGAGAUGGAGGUGGCUUGAGGCACGACACGGCUUGUAAGCGGAGUUACCGUUGUUUUUUUUUUUUAGGAAUAGUGGCGAGGAAGUGGUUUGUAAAUUCGAUUAUCGAUUAUCUUUUGAUUGUUUUAUGCAUAUCUAUAGAUAAUAAAUUUAAACUAGAUAUCAUUUGUACGAGAUUUAGUAUCACAAUUUUGUACAAUUAAAUAUUUUGUAGAUUUGAUUCAGAGGAAC
rnacentral:sRNA from 1 species